rnacentral:rRNA from 1 species
GACGAACGCUGGCGGCGUGCCUAACACAUGCAAGUCGAACGGAAGUAAGUGCUUCGGUAUUUACUUUAGUGGCGAACGGGUGAGUAACGCGUGAGGAACCUGCCUUUCAGUGGGGGACGAACAGUUGGAACGACUGCUAAUACCGCAUAAGCCCACAGCUCGGCAUCGAGCAGAGGGAAAGGAGUGAUCCGCUUUGAGAUGGCCUCGCGUCCGAUUAGCUAGUUGGUGAGGUAACGGCCCACCAAGGCGACGAUCGGUAGCCGGACUGAGAGGUUGAACGGCCACAUUGGGACUGAGACACGGCCCACG